rnacentral:rRNA from 1 species
CCUACGGGCGGCAGCAGUGAGGAAUAUUGGUCAAUGGGCGAGAGCCUGAACCAGCCAAGUCGCGUGAAGGAUGACGGCCCUACGGGUUGUAAACUUCUUUUGUGCGGGCGCAAUUGAGUCCACGUGUGGUCUUAGCGAGAGUACCUGCAGAAAAAGCAUCGGCUAACUCGGUGCCAGCAGCCGGGGAAAUACGGAGGAUUCAAGCGUUACCCGGAUUUAUUGGGUGUAAAGGGUGCGUAGGCGGUCGGAUAAGUUGGUGGUGAAUUCCCGCGGUUAAACUGCGGAAUUGCCGCUGAAACGGGACGACUUGAGAGGAGUUGCGGUAGGCGGAAUGUAUGGUGUAGCGGUGAAAUGCUGAGAUAUCAGACAGAACACCGAUUGCGAAGGCAGCUUACCGAGCUACUACUGACGUUGAGGAACGAAAGCGUGGGGAGCGAACAGGAUUAGAUACCCUUGUAGUC